GCCGCGGUGGUGGAAUGGCAGACACGUACGUUUGAGGGGCGUAUGCCGAAAGGCGUGAGGGUUCGACUCCCUCCCGCGGCA
rnacentral:tRNA from 1 species